UGAACGCUGGCGGCAGGCCUAACACAUGCAAGUCGAGCGGUAACAGAUCCAGCUUGCUGGAUGCUGACGAGCGGCGGACGGGUGAGUAAUGCAUAGGAAUCUGCCCGAUAGUGGGGGAUAACCUGGGGAAACCCAGGCUAAUACCGCAUACGUCCUACGGGAGAAAGCAGGGGACCUUCGGGCCUUGCGCUAUCAGAUGAGCCUAGGUCGGAUUAGCUAGUUGGUGAGGUAAUGGCUCACCAAGGCGACGAUCCGUAACUGGUCUGAGAGGAUGAUCAGUCACACUGGAACUGAGACACGGUCCAGACUCCUACGGGAGGCAGCAGUGGGGAAUAUUGGACAAUGGGGGCAACCCUGAUCCAGCCAUGCCGCGUGUGUGAAGAAGGCCCUCGGGUUGUAAAGCACUUUCAGCGAGGAAGAACGCCUAGCGGUUAAUACCCAUUAGGAAAGACAUCACUCGCAGAAGAAGCACCGGCUAACUCC
rnacentral:rRNA from 1 species